GGAACCUGCCUCAAAGAGGGGGACAACGAGUUGGAAACGACUGCUAAUACCGCAUAAACCCACGGCUCGGCAUCGAGCAGAGGAAAGGAGCAAUCCGCUUUGAGAUGGCCUCGCGUCCGAUUAGCUGGUUGGUGAGGUAACGGCCCACCAAGGCGACGAUCGGUAGCCGGACUGAGAGGUUGAACGGCCACAUUGGGACUGAGACACGGCCCAGACUCCUACGGGAGGCAGCAGUGGGGAAUAUUGCACAAUGGGGGAAACCCUGAUGCAGCGACGCCGCGUGGAGGAAGAAGGUCUUCGGAUUGUAAACUCCUGUUGUUGAGGAAGAUAAUGACGGUACUCAACAAGGAAGUGACGGCUAACUACGUG
rnacentral:rRNA from 1 species